CCCGAAAAAGUUAUAGGGGUGAGAGUAGUAAUUUUCAAUUUUAAGAGGGCCAAAUUGGAAAAUAUAAGGACUCUAGUUAUCCGGUCGAACUAAUUUUCCGGUCUGGUUCUCUCGAUCUUCACUGUGGUGGUUUAGGGCUUUGAUGUGAGCGACAGAGAAUAAGAGAUAAACAUGGCGACGUCAAAUGAUAUUCAAGCAGCCCUAAAACCCUUUCAUCAAAGGGCUUCCGAUGCUGAGGAACGGUUGGCAAGACUUGAAGCUGCCAUUGCUACGACGAAAGUUGCAGACUCUGGAAAUGAGGAGCUAUCAAAUAAAGUAGCCGAAAUGCAAAGAAUGUUAGAAGAUGCAAAAGCAGAGCAACUUGCUGAAAGAGAAAAGGCUUUGAAGGAGGUGAAGUGGGUUACAGAAGAAAAUGCAAAACUCCGUUAUCGUAUAACUCAUCUUGUCCGAGCAUUAGAGAAAGCCGAUAGUGAUUUAGCUUCAAAAUGAAACGAGCCCUUUCGGGAGAUCAAUAUUUUCUGCAUUUUUUUCGUGAUAAAAUAUCAUUCAUGCAUGAUCGCAAGCCUGUCAGAUGUGCGUCUGGAUUUGGCGACAAAGGUUUGAUAAAAUUUGUCAUUGGCCAAAGAUCGAGUCCAUCUAAAGAAUUGAUCUUGUGAGUAUGUUUUAAAGAAAUUUUUAUCAUCGAAAACAAGGGGGCACAAACUUAUUUGGGUAUAGGUGAAUGAUGUAUAUUGUUGCAACUGCACCAGAACAAGGGAUCCUAGAAACUUGCCAAUUCUUGUAAAUGCAUGUUCUGUGGACAAUAUACCCAUUUAAACAGAUUCCCAUUAUUGC